GCCUGGGAAGGUCCAGGCUGCAGUGAGUCAUGAUCGCACCACAGCACUCCAGCCUGGGUGACAGACUUAAGCGUUUUUGAAACCCCAUCUCAAAAAAAUAAAAAUAAAAAAUAACAGUAGUUACGUUAGAUAAAUUCUAGUGUUCCAUCGCACAGUAGGGUGACUAUAGUUAAUAAUAAUUUAUUGUGUAUUUCAAAACAGCUAGAAGAGAGGAAUUUGAAUGUGCCAAACACAAAAAAAUGAUAAAUGUUUGAGAUGAUGGAUAUGCUAAAUACUCUUAUUUGAUCACUAAACAUCAUAUACAGGUAUGGAAACAUCACAUGUACACCAUAGAGAUGUACAAUUAUUAUGUAUCAAUUAAAAAUAAAAGAAUAAAAUUAUAUUUCAGAAAUGUACUUGGUUACAAGAGAACAUCUUUCAUAAAAUGAUUAAAAUGUGAGUUACAGAUCCUUUCCCAUGCAGGGCACCUGUGAGAGCCUGGGUUGCUAAGAGUGAUAGAGUUCCAGGUGGAGAGAGGAAGCCGGGUUACAAUCAGGAAACAUUUCUAUGUCAGCAUUUCUGGUAAAUUGCUUAAAGGGAUCUCAGAAGAAAAGGAACUAAUUCUCCAGCACUCUUGUAAUUUGUCAUGAUAUAAUUUCUCAUUCUAAGUAAAUAUUCGCUUUCAUGACUAAUUUUGUAUUUGCAAUUUUGCAUUCUUUUUCUUAAAGAGGGCUCCCAUAAUUGUGUAAGGCUCGUGCCACACAAAACCUGAAGGUGCCUUUGGUGAGGUGGGUCAUCAGAACACCAGCUGGGCGUCUCGCAGUGUGAAAUCUAGCACUGGAUUCCAUCCCUGACUUUUCCUAAGAAUCACUGUGAAUGUCCUGAAUAGACUGCUGCUGCACCAGGUGCUCCUGUGUCAUCACACUUCCUAACUGCACUUCUGGGUCCUCCGAAGCUGUUCCCAGUGCUUAAUCAUAAGAAGAGAAGCUCCAAAUACCAGUUCAGAAGCUCAGGCCAUGCGCAGAAUCCUGCUGACAGCUUCUGGAUUUCGAUACACAAAAGAACCAGUGAAGACGGCUUGGUUGGAGCUAGAGCAACAUGAAACUCAUCAACCAGAUUAUGCAAAUUAUUAUGCAAACUCAUAUUAUUGAGCCAGGAAUCACUACAGGCCCUUUCUUCCAACACUGCUGAGAUAAAACCAAAUGGAUUGCAACACUAGCUUGGGGUGAAUUCAGGGAGCUCGGAAAAAAAAUUCCUGGGAUUUUCCGUGCAGUGGAAAAGACAGUGGGCUGGAACUCAGGGACCUGAGGUUUAGUUCUGGAUCUGGCACUAGGUAGCUGUGUGGCCCUGAGAGGACCUGUGAGCCUCAGUUUCUCCAACUGUGAAAUGAGAUGACACUCCAUGCUGUAAAAGACCCCAGCCACUCUACGCAAUUUGGAUGGCAUGUCCAAGAUGGAAGCACACAACGGCAGAGGCUUGUAGUGACCUUCAGGACAGCUCUCCAGUAGCUGGAAAUAAAAGUCUUAUUGUUUGGUU